rnacentral:rRNA from 1 species
AUCCGGUACUCAUUAAGGCUGAGCUGUGAUGGGGAGAAGACAUUGUGUCUUCGAGUCGUUGAUUUCACACUGCCGAGAAAAGCCUCUAGAUAGAAAAUAGGUGCCCGUACCGCAAACCGACACAGGUAGUCAAGAUGAGAAUUCUAAGGUGAGCGAGCGAACUCUCGUUAAGGAACUCGGCAAAAUGACCCCGUAACUUCGGGAGAAGGGGUGCUCUUUAGGGUUAACGCCCAGAAGAGCCGCAGUGAAUAGGCCCAAGCGACUGUUUAUCAAAAACACAGGUCUCUGCUAAACCGUAAGGUGAUGUAUAGGGGCUGACGCCUGCCCGGUGCUGGAAGGUUAAGAGGAGUGGUUAGCUUCUGCGAAGCUACGAAUCGAAGCCCCAGUAAACGGCGGCCGUAACUAUAACGGUCCUAAGGUAGCGAAAUUCCUUGUCGGGUAAGUUCCGACCCGCACGAAAGGCGUAACGAUUUGGGCACUGUCUCAACGAGAGACUCGGUGAAAUCAUAGUACCUGUGAAGAUGCAGGUUACCCGCGACAGGACGGAAAGACCCCGUGGAGCUUUACUGUAGCCUGAUAUUGAAAUUCGGCACAGCUUGUACAGGAUAGGUAGGAGCCUUUGAAACGUGAGCGCUAGCUUACGUGGAGGCGCUGGUGGGAUACUACCC